rnacentral:rRNA from 1 species
GAUGAACGCUGGCGGCGUGCCUAAUACAUGCAAGUCGAGCGAACGGACGAGAAGCUUGCUUUUCUGAUGUUAGCGGCGGACGGGUGAGUAACACGUGGAUAACCUACCUAUAAGACUGGGAUAACUUCGGGAAACCGGAGCUAAUACCGGAUAAUAUUUUGAACCGCAUGGUUCAAAAGUGAAAGACGGUCUUGCUGUCACUUAUAGAUGGAUCCGCGCUGCAUUAGCUAGUUGGUAAGGUAACGGCUUACCAAGGCAACGAUGCAUAGCCGACCUGAGAGGGUGAUCGGCCACACUGGAACUGAGACACGGUCCAGACUCCUACGGGAGGCAGCAGUAGGGAAUCUUCCGCAAUGGGCGAAAGCCUGACGGAGCAACGCCGCGUGAGUGAUGAAGGUCUUCGGAGCGUAAAACUCUGUUAUUAGGGAAGAACAUAUGUAUAAGUAACUGUGCACAUCUUGACGGUACCUAAUCAGAAAGCCACGGCUAACUACGUG